UCCAGCGUGGUGUAACGGUUAGCACGAGCGCAGGCUCUCCCAUUCACGAUGUUUGACUAAGUCUAGGUCGUGGGUUCGAACCCUAGUGCUAGUA